UUGUGGAGGAGGACGCCGAAGGUGGGGCUGAUGACUGGGGUGAAGUCGUAACAAGGUAGCCGUACCGGAAGGUGCGGCUGGAUCACCUCAUAACAGGGAGACAAACAUUGAUCAUGAUGUCUGAGUAAAUUAUUCUUAGGCCUUGGUCCUGUCACCUUAGGUCGAUCGGUACCUCAGAAUUAAGAAUUAAGGUAGAGCCUAUUUAUAUGCUCCUCCUUAAUUAUUGGUUUUCAGUUCCUAAACUUGUCUAGGUCACACCCAAGCAAGGGUUACUCCUGGGCCAUUAGCUCAGGUGGUUAGAGCGCACCCCUGAUAAGGGUGAGGUCCCUGGUUCAAGUCCAGGAUGGCCCAUUCGGUGUUGGGGGUAUAGCUCAGUUGGUAGAGCGCCUGCUUUGCAAGCAGGAUGUCAGCGGUUCGAGUCCGCUUACCUCCACUGACCGAAAAUCCUUAACGACCCAAAAGUUGAGGACCUUUGUAUUAGAUGUGAUUUGGACUUUUAAUUAAGCUGAAUGAAGAACCUAGCUUCCUAUCAUUCCCUAUUUAAAUUAUUAGAAAUUUAGAUGCGGUUGACAGGACGCUGGGCUCACUGUGAUUAAAUCGCAGGAGUUUUCAGCAGAACCUUGAAAACUGCAUAGGAUUAAGUCUGGAAAGAAUAAAGCAUCUCAUGGAUGCAUCCUUCUUUUGAUAACAAACAAUAUUUAUACUUAGGUAAAAAUAUUGUUAUUAUUAAUUGUAUAGAUGUGAAUUCUUGAGUUAAGAGCCAAGACUCUAUAGUUAUCUAUAUUUAAUUAGAAAAACUAUAGACGUUAAUUGGUCAAGCUACAA
rnacentral:misc_RNA from 1 species